AUAGAGAAGGGUGCGUGAUUUACAAAAAAUAGGGAGUGGAUAUUAUCUUUCUUCGGCUUCAAAACGGGGCGAGGAUGGGUUAGGGCUGGGGGCUGGGCGAGCCUUCUCACCGGCGCGGCGCCCCCGUUGUGUCUCUCUGUUCGGGAGAUGUUGAAACCAAGUCAACCUGCUCGAUGCUUGUAAUUUGUGUCAUUUUUAUUGGUGAAGAUCUCAUGAAUAUGGGGAUAUAAUUGAAAUUGCCAACAAGUAGUGGAUGCAACUGAUGCUUGACAUCACAUUCCUUGCCUAAACAAGGCAGGGCAUGUCACUUCAUCAUCCACGCACUGGACUCGUAGGUUGCGGGAAGGAAGAAGCCGUUUGCCAU